rnacentral:lncRNA from 1 species
CCGGGAGCGCGGACAACGCGGCUGCGGCUAACCCGCCGCCCGGCCGGCUGAGACCCUCGCGCCCCUGCUCCUGGGGCCCCCGCCCCCUCGCCGUCUCCGCCUCCUUCCUCACACACCCCCAGGCCGCCCGGGCCGCCCGGGCCCCAAGCCUUCCCGGUGCUCCUCCCUCUUCUCCUCACACUCGCUCUCUGGCUGGGGUCCGCCUGCCGCCCGCUGGCCUGCUCCCUCCGGGGCAAGUCCUGCUUCUUAAGCGCUCCUUUCACACACGCGCGCGCUCGCUGGGCCGUCCCCUCCUCUCCGGCCCUCCUCCUCCUCCUGGUCCUUGCUAACGCUGCCGUCGGGGAGGAUUGAUGUCCCUUCAGCAUCAUGCAGCCGCCGCCGAGGAAGGUGAAAGUUACACAAGAACUGAAAAACAUUCAAGUUGAGCAGAUGACAAAACUUCAAGCCAAACAUCAAGCAGAAUGUGAUUUGCUUGAAGAUAUGAGGGUAUGCAGAAGUUGGCUAGUCAAUACCUGAAGAGAGAUUGGCCUGGAGUAAAAGCUGAUGAUCGGAAUGAUUACAGGAGCAUGUAUCCCGUUUGGAAAUCUUUUCUCGAGGGAACAAUGCAGGUAGCCCAGUCUCGGAUGAAUAUAUGUGAAAACUAUAAAAACUUCAUUUCUGAGCCUGCAAGGACAGUGAGAAGCUUAAAAGAACAGCAACUAAAAAGGUGUGUGGACCAGUUGACAAAGAUCCAAACUGAAUUACAAGAGACAGUGAAAGAUUUAGCUAAAGGCAAAAAGAAAUACUUUGAGACUGAACAGAUGGCUCAUGCAGUACGAGAGAAAGCUGACAUCGAGGCAAAAUCUAAACUUAGUCUUUUUCAAUCAAGAAUCAGUUUACAGAAGGCAAGUGUAAAGUUAAAAGCCCGGCGAUCUGAGUGUAAUUCCAAAGCUACCCACGCAAGGAAUGAUUAUCUUCUUACCCUAGCGGCAGCAAAUGCACAUCAGGAUCGCUACUAUCAAACAGAUUUAGUUAACAUUAUGAAGG